ensembl:lncRNA
GCUUGUCACAUAAUGUUUUCUUUUUUCUCUUCAGGUUUUACUUUUAAACAAACCGAACUAAACACUAAUUUGAAGUGGGGAGACGUAAAUACUUCUGUAGUUAUUACCACCAGACACAGUGUUAAAUUCUGUUUUUCUUUGCUCCUGGAAGGAGGGUAGUCUGUUCAGAUGACUCACCUCCCAUGGAAAGAUGAUGUACCAAGGAACCUCAGGCCAGGCUGUUUGUUAGUAUUGUACUGCAAGGCACAGUGGAGAUGUGUUCUGCCAAAGACUGAAGAAGAGGCAGUCCUUCGGAGAGACAAGGAAUACUAAGCAGCAGAGUCCAUUUAAAUGAAAGGCAUUUUAUUGCGAGAACAAAUGAUUUUUCUAGAAACUUAAAACAAUAUAAACAGAAUAGGGGGAAAAGAAAACUAACUCUGAAGAAAAGAAUAGAGGGGGCAUUUCAUCAGUGUGAAGGCCUAUGUAAUGGAAGAAAAGUUAGCCUGCAUCCUGGACAUAUGGGAGAUAAGAAUGUAUGGAAGCAAAAAGAAGGAUGUUAUGCCUGCAGACAAUACGGACCUCAGUAAGUCCAGACUCACAGGAUCUUUGAAAGACGGAAGAGGUCGGCUUGUCAGGGUAUAAACGCAGAGGAUGCUACUCCUGGAGGACAAAUAUGGGUUAAGUUCUGAAAGAAGCCCAGCCUGAACCUCUGAUUGACCACCUGAGGCGAGCACUCCUGUCAGUCAGUCGUGGGAGCACAGGUGAAGGCAAUUCAGCUGUGUGACUGGAAGUGGUGGAGCCAGGCUGCACCUCUCUUAGAC